rnacentral:lncRNA from 1 species
UUAUUGCAUCAAGCUGUUUGUCUAUCAGCCAUAUUCUUGAAUCACUACAUUCAUGUAGAAUAGUUGUUGGAUGUGUGAGAAACUGUAAUUUUUAUUAGCUAAACAGAUAAUCUCACAAACUUGUAUUACAGUUUUUAAAAGCUUUUAUAACACUAUGCUAUUAGUGUUAAUUACAGUUCAUACAAUACGAUUUACAACGAGUUCUUAAUAUUACCCCAAUAUGGUAAGAAAAACAUACCUGUUCGAAAGAAGAAGAAGAAAAAAAAAAUAUAUAUAUAUAUUUUUGUUUCCUGUGGUCAUUCAGUGGCAAGUUUAACCCUUGCACAAUUUAUCACCUAUGCUGGUAAGAGAAAUACCCUGCAGCUUGAGAUACCUGGCACUGGGACAUGAAAACAGCUACAAAAUCUCUUCUGUUAUGAGGAUAGAGUCUUUUAGACAGAUUCAAGACGUUCACUGGGGACAUUUCUGGAAUAC